UCCGUGUUAACCACGGCAGUCUCUUUAGAGUGCCCAACUGAAUGCUGGCAACUAAAGACAAGGGUUGCGCUCGUUGCGGGACUUAACCCAACAUGUCACCACACGAGCUGACGACAGCCAUGCAGCACCUGUCUCUUUGUCCGGUUGCCCGGAAAGGCGUAUCUCUACGCCGGUCAAAGGAUGUCAAACCCAGGUAAGGUUCUUCGCGUUGCUUCGAAUUAAACCACAUGAUCCACCGCUUGUGCGGGCCCCCGUCAAUUCCUUUGAGUUUUAGUCUUGCGACCGUACUUCCCAGGCGGGGUACUUAUCGCGUUAGCUCCGGCUCAGCGGGGGUCAAGACCCACCAAGCCUAGUACCCAUCGUUUACGGCGUGGACUAC
rnacentral:misc_RNA from 1 species